rnacentral:piRNA from 1 species
UAGUCCAAAAGUGUUUUAGAGUAAGGA